AUUGCUUCUUAGCCUUUUGGCCAAGAUCAAAUGCAAUAUCUGUUCUUAAUCAGCUUAAAAUUAUCUCUCCUUCCCUGGUGGCUCAGACAGUAAAGAAUCUGCCUGGAAGGCAGGAGACCCAGGUUUGAUCCCUGGGUU
ensembl:snRNA U2 U2 spliceosomal RNA